rnacentral:misc_RNA from 1 species
GAUGAAGAACGCAGCGAAAUGCGAUGAGUAAUGUGAAUUGCAGAAUUCAGUGAAUCAUCGAAUCUUUGAACGCACCUUGCGCCCUUUGGCUAUUCCGAAGGGCAUGCCUGUUUGAGUAUCAUGAACACCUCAACCCUCAUGGUUUGCCAUGACGGGCUUGGACUUUGGGGGUCUUGCUGGAUUGUAGUCAGCUCCCCUUAAACAAAUCAGCUUGCCAGUGUUUGGUGGCAUCACAGGUGUGAUAACUAUCUACGCUUGUGGUUUUACAUCAGAUAACCUUCAGUGAUGGAGGUUCACUGGAGCUCAUAAAGGUGUCUCUCCUCUGUGAGGACAGCUCUUUGAAUGUUUGAUCUCAAAUCAGGCAGGACUACCCGCUGAACUUAAGCAUAUCAAUAAGCGGAGGA